rnacentral:rRNA from 1 species
GAGCUGUUUAAUCUCAGACACUCUAGCCUUAGAGUAACUGUUGAGAGGGCAUUUGGAGCUCUGAAGAAUAGGUUUAAGAUCCUGGAUCAGAAGCCAUUUCACCCAUACUCCACUCAGAUUAAGCUUGUUCUUGCUUGUUGCAUUCUGCAUAACUGGAUCCUCCAGUGGGGCUUUGAUGAACACGUGCCUGAGGAGGAAGAGGUCGAGCCUGACGAUGUUGUUAGCUCCGGCCAUGGUGUGGAGGCAUUUGACAAUGACGCUUGGAAGAAUAAAAGGUUGGAGUGGGCAGAGGCAAUGUGGCUUAAUAGUGGUCAGUGCAGGAUUUGA